rnacentral:lncRNA from 12 species
UUUUUUUUGGAGGAAGAGGGAAGGAGAAUGCAGAGACUUUAACGAUGCUGUGCAGGAAUUUGGCAUGUGGAAAUGAAUUCUGGGAAGUGAGAAGCUUUGUUCCUGUUUCUGUCAGAUCAAGGAGGUAGACUUCAUGUUUUGCUGGGGCAUUUAACAGAAUUAAAUUUCAAACAGCAAAACACACAGAGGAGCUUAUAGGCAAAGUGGAGUGGAAGAAGAGAUGGG